rnacentral:rRNA from 1 species
GACGAACGCUGGCGGCGUGCUUAACACAUGCAAGUCGUACGGUAAGGCCCUUUCGGGGGUACACGAGUGGCGAACGGGUGAGUAACACGUGAGUAACCUGCCCACAACUUUGGGAUAACGCUAGGAAACUGGUGCUAAUACUGGAUAUGUGCUCCUGCUGCAUGGUGGGGGUUGGAAAGCUCCGGCGGUUGUGGAUGGACUCGCGGCCUAUCAGCUUGUUGGUGGGGUAGUGGCCUACCAAGGCGGCGACGGGUAGCCGGCCUGAGAGGGUGACCGGCCACACUGGGACCGAGAGACGGCACAGACUCCUACGGGAGGCAGCAGUGGGGAAGAUUGAACGAUGGGCGCCAGCCUGGUGCAGCAACGCCGCGUGCGGGAUGACGGCCUUCGGGUUGUAAACCGCUUUCAGCAGGGACGAAGCUUUUUGUGACGGUACCUGCAGAAGAAGCACCGGCUAACUACGUG